rnacentral:lncRNA from 1 species
CUUCCCAAGCCAAACCAAUGGCUUUCUUAAGGGAGAACAGAGGGAAUGGGGAGGAGUGGCAUUAGCAGUGAUGCUGCCAGGGCAGUUGGGCAAUGAUGGCACAGUCGAAGUGGCCGGAUGAUGGAGGCACAACUGAGGUAGUUGGCGGCUCGAUCGCCUAUAGGGAAGCCAAAAGAGAGAGGGAGGAAAGGGACAAUGCCCCUUGCCACCUUGGUGGCCACACCCGAGGCCAAAAAUAGAAACAAGGAGAUGAGACUCAUCGGAGAUGGCAGCGGUGAUAGGGCUCAACUGGAUGAAGUAGAUUCCAAUAGAAAAAAGGGAUGGAGAUCACAAGAUAGGAGAAAAACAGAACAUAGAGAGUUUGGAGAGGAAAAGAAGGAGGUUUUGGGGGUGGCAACACUUAGCACGAUAGCAUAACAGCCAUCAGAGGUGAAGAAGAAGAGGGUG